rnacentral:rRNA from 1 species
UACGUAGGGGGCGAGCGUUGUCCGGAAUCAUUGGGCGUAAAGAGCUCGUAGGCGGACUGUCACGUCCGCUGUGAAAAGCUAGGGCUUAACCCUGGCCUUGCAGUGGAUACGGGCAGACUAGAGGUAGGUAGGGGAGAAUGGAAUUCCCGGUGUAGCGGUGAAAUGCGCAGAUAUCGGGAGGAACACCGGUGGCGAAGGCGGUUCUCUGGGCCUUACCUGACGCUGAGGAGCGAAAGCGUGGGGAGCGAACAGG